rnacentral:rRNA from 1 species
AUGCAGAUGAACAAGGAAGGAUUUAGUACACCCAUAAAGAAAUGCUCAUCUUUUAUACCUAAUUGUGAAGAUAAUUUGAAGCCUAAUGUGGGGAUGAAAUUUCAAGGACUGAAGGCUGUGGAGGAGCUCUACAAGUCUUAUGCACAUCACUCUGGUUUUGGAGAAGAACAAAGAAGCCAAGGUCAAGGUUGCACACUUGGUAAGACAUGCUACCAAAUAGGGUUUCAUGACAGUCGCAAUUGUCCUAGCAAAAAAGGUCAAGGAAAAGAAACCAUGAAUGUGCAGCACAUGCUUCCAAAUGGUCAAUCAUGA